GCCUGCUUGGCCAAGCGGUUACGGCGUCUGCCUCGUAUGAAAGCUGUGCGCGCAAGCGUUGGCGGAAACUACAGACAGCAGAAGAUCUCUGGUUCAAAUCCGGAAGUGGGCA